rnacentral:rRNA from 1 species
UACAGAGGCCCCAAGCGUUACUGAGAAUCACUGGGUUUAAAGGGUGCGUAGGUGGUCCGUUAAGUUCGUUGUGAAAUCCCUGGGCUCAACCCAGGAAAUGCUUCGAAUACUGGCGGACUUGAGGCUAGUAGAGGUCACUGGAACUGACGGUGGAGCGGUGAAAUGCGUAGAUAUCGUCAGGAACGCCGAUGGUGAAGACAGGUGACUGGGCUAGUUCUGACACUGAGGCACGAAAGCGUGGGGAGCGAACGGGG